rnacentral:rRNA from 1 species
GACGAACGCUGGCGGCGUGCUUAACACGUGCAAGUCGAACGGAAAGGCCCUGCUUUUGUGGGGUGCUCGAGUGGCGAACGGGUGAGUAACACGUGAGUAACCUGCCCUUGACUUUGGGAUAACUUCAGGAAACUGGGGCUAAUACCGGAUAGGAGCUCCUGCUGCAUGGUGGGGGUUGGAAAGUUUCGGCGGUUGGGGAUGGACUCGCGGCUUAUCAGCUUGUUGGUGGGGUAGUGGCUUACCAAGGCUUUGACGGGUAGCCGGCCUGAGAGGGUGACCGGCCACAUUGGGACUGAGAUACGGCCCAGACUCCUACGGGAGGCAGCAGUGGGGAAUACUGCACAAUGGGCGGAAGCCUGAUGCAGCAACGCCGCGUGCGGGAUGACGGCCUUCGGGUUGUAAACCGCUUUCGCCUGUGACGAAGCGUGAGUGACGGUAAUGGGUAAAGAAGCACCGGCUAACUACGUG